rnacentral:lncRNA from 1 species
GAUUGUUAAUAAGGAGGUGCAAGACAGGAUGACUAGAGUGGUAUAUCCCAGAUCGGAAGAAGGUAAGAAUAAUAUCGAAAUAAUUAACGGCAGUGAAGAAUUCGUAUACAAAGCUAGUAGUUAUUAACUGCAGGGAUAUUCUAAAAGAUGUUCCUCGUCUGUCUUCCAUUCAACAUCCCACUCUUGGAACUAUCCAUUGUUAUUUUAGGAGGGAAGUUAUGGGGAUAUUUCGCCUCCCGUUCAAGGAACAUAUGUGGAAGGAAGAAGUUUAGGAAGCACUCCACAUUGUACAGAUGGCUUGGGAGCAGCCGUUGACACGAGGACAAACCCGUAGUGUUUUCAAGGUCGGCCCUUAUUUGGGAUCGUUUUCAGAUCCCGUAAUUUAUUUUUUUUAGAUGAAAAGUCUUUGGUAUCGAAGCUACUAUUAAAAUGCGUACAAAAAAAGGUAUGUUUGUAUUUCGCAUUGGACUUGAACCUGUAACAAGUUCAAUAACCGGUAGUGAUGGUCACUUACCCUAUAGCUCGAAAGUACUAGCAUGUUCCCUCAAAACUUGCUCUGUUAUCGCGGUUUUUUUAAUCUUCUGUCUAUAAAUUGUUAAAACGAUCUCUCCUUCGACCUUCAUGUUGUUUCUCUCUUUCUAGCGUCGGGUUUUCUAGCCACCUGUUUUCGUGACUUAUUUCCAUCACGAUCAUGCAGAAUUUGAGUCAUGAGUCGCGUGUAGAAAGGGCUAACGCUAAUCAGAGGUCAUAUCGUAGGUGGAGAGAACCAAAAUUUUACAUAUUUAACACAAUUAUCGAGUUUAAAGUGGCUCUGUUUUUUAAUCUCCGACGAAGUCAACCUUUCUCUAUCUUCAAGUAUUUCCGCAUUUUCCUCUGGGAAAAACUGGUUUUUUUUUUUUUUCUAUACGCAAAUGAUGAAGCGGAUGAAUUGUUACGACAGAAUAGGGUCACGUAGUUAUAUGCGCUAAUAACCAAUGAGGUUCUGUCGGUAGAUCAUCAGGGAUUUGAGAACGACACGUGGUCAUUUCCGAAUCAGACAACCUAGGUUUUAUUUCUUAGUACAAAGUACCAUUGCAUGUAAUACGAACCAGUAUAUCAUAUUGUAGCAUUGUUCCGGUUGAAGUCCAGAGUCUUAAAAUCAAGCGUCUUAAUUGAAAUUUUACAGAUUUUUUUCGAAGUCAGAACCUCAUUUUUUGAAAAAAUCAAUCUUUUAAGGUUCUUUGAUAUAGUUCACUG